UAAGGUGGAGCUAAUCCCUUAAAGCUACUCUCAGUUCGGAUUGUAGGCUGAAACUCGCCUACAUGAAGCUGGAGUUACUAGUAAUCGCAGAUCAGAAUGCUGCGGUGAAUGCGUUCCCGGGUCUUGUACACACCGCCCGUCACACCACGGGAGUUGGAGACGCCCGAAGCCGAUUAUCUAACCUUUUGGAAGAAGUCGUCGAAGGUGGAAUCAAUAACUGGGGUGAAGUCGUAACAAGGUAGCCGUAUCGGAAGGUGCGGCUGGAUCACCUCCUUUCUAAGGAGA
rnacentral:rRNA from 1 species